rnacentral:lncRNA from 12 species
AUGCCACAAGGCAAUCUGGCGUUUGAGACCGCAUCUACGGAAAGCAGCAAGCAUGAGGAACGGAGGGUAACUGGCAUUUGGUCAAGCUUUUGCUCUGACAGUUUUGGGCGACUCCGUCUUGUGGUGUCUGAUUUGGGGUGUUCUCCUAAAGAAGCCGUCUCUGAACUGUCGGCCGGCCGAGAAAACAAGCGUUCCACUCGCCCGGAAAUUAGAUGCACGGGGCACUCGGUCCCCGCCGGAGGUGGGAAGCCCUGCGGAGGCGAGACCGGCUGCCCGGGGGGCCGCGGCCCCUGCAGACCACGGAGGCCGUUCCAGGGGCCGCGUGCGCACGGCCCCCCCACCCCCGCCCCGCCCCGCCAGGUGCGCCGGGCCCGGCCCCGCCAGCCGCGCGCCUCCCGCCGCCGGGCACGGGCGGCCCCGCAGCCGAGCCUUCCCGCCCGGCGCCCGGGCUCCGAUUACAGGUUCGCCCGGGGGGCCCGGCCCGCGGCCGCCCAGCCCCCGCCGGCGCGCCCUCGCGCGGCCCCGCCGCCCCGCCUGCCCAUUCUUCUCCAUUCAUGCGGACGCCCAGCGCCGCCGCCGCCGCCGCCAGCGCGCCCGCCGUCGCCGCCGCCGGCCGCCCGGAUUGGCUGGCGGCCGCGGCGCCGGCACUUUCCCACGGCCCGCGGCGCGUGCGGCUCACCGGCGGCGCUGCAGGCGCGGCCCUGGCGCGCGGCCAGGCCAAUCGGGGCGCGCGGGGCGGGGCGGGGCCGCGGCGGGCGGCGGGCUCGGGGCUCGGGGCUCGGGGCUCGGGGCCCGGCCCGGCCUCCCCCGCCUGCCCGCCGCCGGCCCACAGCCGCCCGCCCCGCCCCGCCACGCCCGCGGAGCCCCGGCCGAGCCCCCGCGGAGACCCCGCG